rnacentral:rRNA from 1 species
CGUCGGUGGACCCCCACUGCUGCGGCCUUCAAAGCGACCCCAGGUCAGCGGGGAUACCCGCUGAGUUUAAGCAUAUCAAUAAGCGG